rnacentral:rRNA from 1 species
UACGUAGGUGGCAAGCGUUGUCCGGAUUUAUUGGGUUUAAAGGGUGCGUAGGCGGCUUUGUAAGUCAGUGGUGAAAUAUGGCAGCUCAACUGUCAGGGUGCCAUUGAUACUGCGGAGCUUGAGUUCAGAUGAGGUAGGCGGAAUUGACGGUGUAGCGGUGAAAUGCUUAGAUAUCGUCAAGAACACCGAUAGCGAAGGCAGCUUACUGGGCUGUAACUGACGCUGAGGCACGAAAGUGUGGGGAUCAAACAGG